rnacentral:rRNA from 1 species
GAUGAACGCUAGCGGGAGGCUUAACACAUGCAAGUCGUGGGGCAGCACGGGGUAGCAAUACUCUGGUGGCGACCGGCGCACGGGUGAGUAACGCGUAUGCAACCUGCCCUGUACAGGGGGAUAGCCCGGAGAAAUUCGGAUUAAUACCCCAUAAAGAUAUAAUGAGGCAUCUCAUUAUAUUUAAAGUUUCGGCGGUACGGGACGGGCAUGCGUGACAUUAGCUAGUUGGUAGGGUAACGGCCUACCAAGGCUUCGAUGUCUAGGGGUCCUGAGAGGGUGAUCCCCCACACUGGUACUGAGACACGGGCCAGACUCCUAUGGGAGGCAGCAGUGAGGAAUAUUGGUCAAUGGGCGCAAGCUUGAACCAGCCAUCCCGCGUGCAGGAAGAAGGCGCUAUGCGUCGUAAACUGCUUUUUCAGGGGAAGAAAAUCCCGUACGUGUACGGGACUGACGGUACCCUGUGAAUAAGCAUCGGCUAACUCCGUGCCAGCCGCCGCGGUAAAAC